CAGUAGCCGCGGUAAUACAGAGGGUGCAAGCGUUAAUCGGAAUUACUGGGCGUAAAGCGCGCGUAGGUGGUUCGCCAAGUUGGAUGUGAAAUCCCCGGGCUCAACCUGGGAACUGCAUCCAAAACUGGCAGGCUAGAGUAGGGCAGAGGAUGGUGGAAUUCCCGGUGUAGCGGUGAAAUGCGUAGAGAUCGGGAGGAACAUCAGUGGCGAAGGCGGCCAUCUGGGACAACACUGACGCUGAGGCACGAAAGCGUGGGGAGCAAACAGGAUUAGAUACCCCAGUAGUCCCUGUCUCUUAUAC
rnacentral:rRNA from 1 species